UACGGGGGAUGUAAGCGUAAUCCGGAAUUACUGGGCGUAAAGCGUCUGUAGGUGGUGAUGCAAGUCACUGGUGCAAAACUCUGGCUCAACCGGAGGAAAGCCAGUGAAACUGCAUGACUAGAGUGUGGGAGAGGUAGAAGGAAUUCCCUGAGUAGCGGUGAAAUGCGUAGAUACAGGGAAGAACACCGGAGGCGAAAGCGUUCUACUGGAACACAACUGACACUGAGAGACGAAAGCUAGGGGAGCGAAUGGG
rnacentral:rRNA from 1 species